UUCCUUGGCGGUGGCUUUCGUCUUCCUUCCCUCGCUUUUCUUCCUCGUGGAAACGGAUCGGAAGUCCGCAGUUGCUCCCUUUCCAGUGUUGUCCUUAAAAAUGGGAUCCCUCUCGUGGCGAAAGGGCGCUCUUGGUCCCGCAUUGAGACAGUUCCCGCGUUCACACGUUCAAGUCAGCUUCGCCUUGGGCGGUCGGAGACCGUUAGGAUGCCCCCCCCCUCCUCCCGCCUAUCACGCCACAAUUGUCUGCUUGGGACAUUGAAGAGGGAUUUCACUCCCAUCCGCGAGAGUCCGUGUCUCCUCAAAGUGGUCAGAUCUUGUUCACAGAGGUCGCUCCUAUCAUUCCUCCUGUAACUCUCCUGCUGAAAUUCAGUGGGCUUUUAUCCAAUCGGGGAGUGACCCCUUUUCCCCAUUCUUAGAAAGAAGUUACAUUUAAGUUUCUACGUAGCCAUUAUUAUUAGGUAAAAUCACCAUGACGUAUACUGUAGUGGCAUUACAAGACCAGGAUGCUGUAUGAUGCUAGGGAGGACAAAGGAAUAUGGAACUCUAGCUGGUUAUCAAUAUAUCACUGAGAGAAUAAAGGAACUACAAUCUAUGAUAGAAAAGAAAGAGUAAGCAAGUUGAGCUAAUUUAAAUAAAUUUCUGGGGCCACAUGGGCUACCUACUAAAGGAACUAAAGUUUUGUGAUAACAAAACUACCCUUAAACUAACCUUUAAGAACUCCAGGAAUACUGAUAUAUGGGAACUCAGAUUGUUGGAGGCAAUAUGCUGACAUUGUAAACUGCCCAGAAAGUGCUAUAAAGCACUGUGGGGCAGAAUGUAAGUCCAAGUGCUAUUUCUAUAUCUCAGGGGACCAGAAGCGAGCAUACUUUAUCCCUAUCUUUAACAAGGGUAAGAAUGAGACUUCAAAAAACUACAGAUCAGUUUGAUAUCUACAUUUGGAAAGGACUUUGAAAGGAUUGUCAAGCAGUAUGUUAAUGAAGCAUGCUACAAUUAGCAAGAUCCAGGAUAGGUUUAUCAUAGACCGAUUGUACUGUACUAAUCUUCCAUAGAGUUACUAGCAUAGUAAAUAAAAGGAUGCCAUAGAUAUAGCAUUCCUGGAUGUAAGCCAAGCCUUAAGACAGAGUGCCUCUUGAUAUUCUCCUCCAUAAAUGGGUAAAAUAUAGACUAAAUUAGGGGUCUCAAAUACAUAGCCAACAGACUAUUUUUGGUCUCCUGAGGUUUGGUGUUCGGUUUGUUUUUGUUUUUUGUACGAUCCAAACAGAUCACUAACAUUAACAAAGAGAAAAAGAAAAAGAAUGAUUGCAGACGAAAACCAUUGUCACGAUGAGUGGGAAAAUUAUAUUUGGGUUAUAGAGAUGAAAGAUCAAAGUUAGUGUUUCAUUUGUUUGCAAUGUUUUUUAGUUGUAAAGGCGAUGCACCAAGAGAAGUAUGCAGCAAUAACGGGCAAAAUGCAAGACAAAACAGUUUAGCAACUCAAGGCAGUUCUUGCAAAACAACAAAACUUUUUCACAAAUAUCAAUAAAUCAAGCUAAGAUUCUACUAAGUGCAAGUUUCAUCAUGAAAUGAUUACAAAAUCAUAAGGACCAUUAACUGAAGAAAGAAAAAGCUUCUGGAGGAAGAAAUGGUAGAUUGAAGAUGGUGGUACCACAAAAGAUGGGAUUAACGAUGAUGGGGAAGAAUGAAGAGUUGGGUGCAGCCUAUCUCAUUUGAUAUUUGAGACUGAAUGGCAGCCAACAGUUUCAAUAAAAAGCUCAAAAGCACAACAUGAGGGCAAUAGCUAAGAAAAGCUGGAAGAUGAAGUCCAGACAUCUAAAAGUUGCCAAGGUUGAGAAACACUGUAUUCAGAAAAGUAGAUAAUUAGAGUUCCCAUUGAUAAGCAUUACAGUAAAACAAAAUUAUACAAUUAAAAAAUCUCUCAAAUGAAUUAACAAA